UGCUGAAGAAAAGAAAUUAUCUGCAAACAAAGAGGUUUAAGUGAAAAUUGAAACAUGAUACUUUUCAAAAUGGCAAAUCAGAAACAAGCAAGAGAACAAAAUGUUAGAUUCACAAUAUUUCAGGACCUAUAAGCACCCUCAAACGCCUUUUGCCUAACGUAAUUCUCGGUUUGUAAUACUAGUAAAGAUAAAACUGCUAUCUGCAAGCCUGACACUUUUCAUGAGUUUGGCCUGAUUUAUAAGUUCUUGAUCCGGGUUAUAUUCUUCAGCCAAAUAAUCUACUAUUGACCUGCUGGGCCCAUCCAUUCUAAAUAAAAGCUCACCUGCUCUGCUGUGAUCCCAUUUUCAAAAGCAUUAUACAAG
rnacentral:misc_RNA from 1 species